rnacentral:sRNA from 1 species
UGCCAACCGGGUGUCUGCACUGAGUUCGGCAUCAAUAUGGUAACUUUCUGGGAGCAGGGGGCCGCCAGGUUGCCUAAGGGUGAGUGAACUGGCCCAGAUCAGAGAGGGAGCAGGUCAGAACUCCCGCACUGACCGGUAAUGUGACUGUGCCUGGGCA